rnacentral:rRNA from 1 species
AUACGUAGGUGGCAAGCGUUGUCCGGAAUUAUUGGGCGUAAAGCGCGCGCAGGUGGUUCCUUAAGUCUGAUGUGAAAGCCCACGGCUCAACCGUGGGAGGGUCAUUAGGAAACGUGGGGAACUUGAGUGCAGAAGAGGAAAGUGGAAUUCCAAGUGUAGCGGUGAAAUGCGUAGAGAUUUGGAGGAACACCAGUGGCGAAGGCGACUUUCUGGUCUGUAACUGACACUGAGGCGACGAAAGCGUGGGGAGC